rnacentral:lncRNA from 1 species
GCACUGCGCAUGCGCCCCGCUGCUAGCACGGAAAUGUGUACGCAUGAGCAAAGCUCAUGAGGUCACUAGAAAUGGGAACUGGUUUCUCGCACAGGCCGUGCGGGCGGCGCCGUGGCUUAGUUGGUUAAAGCGCCUGUCUAGUAAACAGGAGAUCCUGGGUUCGAAUCCCAGCGGUGCCUGAGUGCUACCUUUUCUUCUUUUUUGCACGACCCUUUUUGUUUUGCGAGCCCUCUCACAGAACCGUUCCUCUGUCAGCGCGGAAGACAUUUUAGCGGAAGACGUUGUGUUCCCUGCUAGCCUUUGCCUCCUUGAGGUCGGCCAAAUCGCUGUCCCCUGAGUGCUUCCACAGGGGUGACAAGUCUCCACAGCCUCUUGGCUUCGCUGAGCAUUGCUCUUGGCUUCGCUGAGCACUGCAAAGCAUGCUGAUUUUUCCUCCCGGAAUCCGCGCAGUGGGUAGCAACAAUCUGCAUACUGAGAACAGCUUGGCGAGGCUGAGUAAAGUCCCAAAAUGGAGGGUGGAAGAUGAGAACUGACCCUCGAAAACUGUCCUCCGGCCUGUGGGUCCACAUGUACGCCGCGGCUCACGUAUGAGCACAAAUGUGUUCACAACAAAUAGGUAAAUGUAAUAGAAAAAAAAAUGUCCUAAGCUGAAAAGGGACAAAGAACGUACUUUCAUUAACCCACACAGUGGAACACGCUUGGGCUUUUGGUUCGAUAAGGCAGCACAGGAUAUUGCACAGUGCGGUGGGGGGGAUAUGUCAGCGCCACCGCUCUCAGGCUUAUAUGAGAGGUUGUGGGGCUUCUUUCUAGCUGGGCAAAAGACCGAAAUUUAAGAAUACUGAUUUCGACUUGACCACUACGGUUAAGUUGACAAUUUGCUUGUCCGGGAGGCAAUUCUUUCUGCUUCUCCUACGGGUCUGGGUGUGUUGUUUGUUUGUUUGUUUGUUUUGAUCAGUUCCUGCCCUUUGCAACUUGGUUUUUUUUUUUUUUUUUUUUUUUUUUGGUUGACACUGCCAACGAAAAUGUGAGGGAUAGUCCCACACUUUACAAAGGCAUCAGGUCUAUUCAGCUGCAUCCAGUUACUGAAGGCUUUAUUGGAAAGCACUCUCGAGUCUUCUUGGGGCUAAGUUCUAGCUCCUCUCUAUCAGUCCUGGGGUUUGGAGUACUUGCCUGUUGGAUGCCUGUUUAUGGUGAAACGAAAUUCUCCUAGGAUCAUGUGAUCAGCGUGGUCCACACUGGUGGCGCUAUUUGGGAGGAGACUUCGGGAGGUGGGGCCUAGCAGAGGGCUGUAGGUCAGUGGGUCAGCUACCUUAUCCUGCUCUCACUCCCUCUCUCUCCUCCUCCCCAUCUCCCUCUCAACCAUGAACCGACAUGCCUGAAUUGUAUUCUUAAUCCUCUUUUUAAGUAAUUGCGGGUGCUUCUCUACAGUAGUAAAAAGCUAAGUGAGGACCAGUCGGAGACGUUGGUUGGCACUUGAGUCUGAGGGAGGCUCUGCUCUAAAGGAAAGCUUUUCUACCGUAACAGCUGCACAGGGACAGAGGACCUGGAAGUCAUCUGAUUGGCCGAACAUUCCUGCCACCCCACCCAACUCCCAGCAGUAAGCAAAGCCAGAAAUGAGAAUCACGCCCUUAUUAACCUACCUUGUCUCUGCUCCUUAAAAACCUACACAGGUCUUCCUGCCUCAGAGACUUUGAAUUUAGGGUGGUGGGGGCUCGGAAUGCUGUUUCCCGGGUAGUCUGUGGGGAAACCCAUCCCAUCAGAGAUCUUUCAGUCAGUGUGUCAUCUCUCUGGAAGAACUCCUGUUACCAUCUUUGGCUCAGCCUCUCCAAGGCCCCCAACGCAGCCUCUUGUUUGUCACCCACAACAGCACAUCACUAACCGUAAGAACUUUGUAAAAAGGUAAAACAAUGUUUUACUUCCAACUGAUUUUUGGUUUAUGUUGUAAAUAGUUUUUGUAAAAGUGUUGUUUGUGUCAACAUGUAUUUGGUUUAUCACGGUUAGUUUUUAAAUCAAUACUUUUUUUUUUCCUUUCAGAUUUAACUUCUAGUGCCUUGAGUUUUAACUUUGCCAUGAUGAUAAUGGAAUGAUGCUCUGAAACUAUAAGCCACCCCAAUUAAAUGCCUUCCUUUAUAAGAGUUGCCUCUUUUCACAGCAAAGGAAACCCUAAUGAAGACAAAAUUUGGUACCAGGAGUGGGGUAUUGCUGUGCGAGGCCUGACGAUGCUUUUGUUUGGAGGAAUGUGGAUUUGGGAACUUUGGAUUAGGAAAGCAGUUGAACUUUUUAAGUGGGGCUUAAUGCACCAUCCUAGAAGGAGCAUGGAAGACAGGUGCGCUGAGAAUGAUUUGAAUUUGGGGGCCUGGCUCAAGAGGUUUCAGAGAAGAAUUUUAGUAUGUGGUCUAGAGACUGUUAUUAUGAUAUCUUGUCAAAGAAUAUAGCUGCCUUUUCUCCUUUUCUGAAAAGUCUGCCUGAGGCUAAACUGAAGAGUUUUGGUUAGUUAAGUUGGCAGAGGAAAUUUCAAAACAUCCUAGUCUUGACUCUGUCCUGUGGUUAUUACUGUUCACUCUUAUGAAGAUCUGUAAUGAAAAAGAGCAAGCUGAGCAAAGACAGCUACAAAAUGUGCAGUAUGUGGGGAAGAGAGGAACCAGGAAGUGGAACGAAGUGAAGUCCUACGCUUAAGGAGAUAAACAGAGUAAAGAAAAACCUGAUGUUAAAUGAAAUAAAGGCAAGGCCCCACCCAACUAUGCUUCCAACCUGCAAAAAGGAACUAAAGAGCUAGUUUCAGAACAGCCAAGUUUAGGCAGCAAAGGAAACCAUUGAAAACAGAAAGUUGGAGAAGAUGUAAUUGAAUGAAGGGGUUGGGGCAUGUUCCAGCCCCAGCAAGCAGCAGAACUUGCCAGCUUCAGCCACAUGGUUCUGGCUUUAGAAUCAAGGAUAGAAGAAGUGGUUAUAGAAUCUCUGUGACUAAGGAAAGCCUCUGAGGCCAGGCACAUGUCAGGGGUGGCCUGUCAUGGAGGCCCAGAGAGGCCACUGUGUGAAGCUGUAAAGAUGAAGCCUGGAUUGCCUUGGAGACCCCAAGAUAUUGGAGAUGCCAGAGUCAUGUGAUACCUGCCAAGGAGAGCUGCUAACAGGGUAUGGAACCAGCCUAAGAGAGAGACGCAUGUUGCAGUCAACAAAGCUGAAAGGAGUUGGGGAUCUGAAGACAUCAGACAUGGAGAUGCAGAUUUUGGAGUGUGCCCAGCUGGUUUUCAGUCUUGCUUUGGUCCAGUGUUUCCUCACAGUGCUCCCUCCUCCAUUUGGAAUAAUGAUGUGAAUCCUGUGCUGUUAUAUAUUGGAAGUAUGUGACUAUGGUUUAGAUUUUAUAGGGGAUUACAGUUAGAAGAUUGCAUGAGACUCAGAAGAAACUUUGAACUUUCACAGGGUUGAGACUGUUACAGACUAUGGGGACUUCUGCAGUUGGACUAAACACAUUUUGCAUUAUAAUAUGGAUACACACACAUGCACAGACACACACAUGCACAGACACACACAUACACAGACACACACACACAUAUAUAUAUAUGUACAUAUAUAUACAUAUGUAUAACCUAUAUAUCAGGAAGUGUAAUGUAGUAGUUUGAAUAAAACUGGCCCCCAUAGGCACAUAGUGACACUAUUAGGAGGUGUGGCCUUGUUGGAGGAAGCAUGUCUCAGUUUCUCCUUGCUGCCUGCUGAUCUGGAUGUUGAACUCUCAGCUCCUUCUCCAGCACCAUGUCUGCCUGUUCACUGAUCUGUUCCCCGCCAUGACGAUAUUGGACUAAACCCCUGAAACAGCAAGCCAGCCCCAAUGAAAUGUUCUCCUUUAUAAGAGUUGCCAUGGUUACAGUGUCUCUUCACAACAACAAAAUCCAAACUAAGAUAGUAAUUUUAAAAAGAUUUUAAAAGAUUUUAAAAAGAUUUUCAUGUUUGUGAGUGCCUGUAUUUUGUUAUCCAUGUGUAUGCAGUACCCAUGGAGGCCAGAAGAGGGGGCCAGUGUGGUGAAAAUGGAACCCUGAUCCUCUGCAGGAGCAGCAACUGCUUUUAACUACCGAACCAUCUUUCCAGCCCAUAGAAAACUUUGAGUCUCCUGUGCUAGAACACUUGAGAAUCGUUUAAAUUCAAAGACUUUUCUUUUCUUUUCUUUUUCUUUCUUUCUUUCUUUCUUUUUUUUUUUUUUUUUUUUUUUUUUUUUUUUUUUUUUUU